GGAGAGAUGGCCGAGAGGCCGAAGGCGCGUCCCUGCUAAGGACGUAUACGGGUAACUGUAUCGGGGGUUCGAAUCCCCCUCUCUCCG
rnacentral:tRNA from 1 species